UACGUAGGGGGCAAGCGUUGUCCGGAAUCACUGGGCGUAAAGCGCGUGUAGGCGGCCCAUUAAGUCUGAUGUGAAAGCCCGGGGCUCACCCCCGGAAGUGCAUUGGAAACUGAUGGACUCGAGUCCCGGAGAGGAGAGUGGAAUUCCUGGUGUAGCGGUGAAAUGCGUAGAUAUCAGGAGGAACACCGGUGGCGAAGGCGGCUCUCUGGACGGUGACUGACGCUGAGACGCGAAAGCGUGGGGAGCAAACAGG
rnacentral:rRNA from 1 species